AUCUAGCAGAAGGAACUGGCCUGUCAAAAGUACAAUUAUUUAAUGAUCAUUCCUGGCCACCCAGAUAGGAAAUAGAAGACAAUACUUUGCAAAUCCAUGAUAAUUCUACCUUUUGUGCAUAACAUUUCCACAAUUCACUCAUUGUUUUUCUGUCCAACAUUGUUUUGCUUUUUAGUUUUUCUGGUUACAGCCAACAUUCUCUGUUUUAGCUAUGCUUUGCUAACAGUCAUUUUGAGUCAAUCAUUGCUGUUUCAGUCAAAUUAUACACGACUACCACCAAUUCACAUCACUGGUGCCA